AGAGUUUGAUCAUGGCUCAGGAUGAACGCUGGCGGCGUGCUUAACACAUGCAAGUCGGGCGAAGCACUUUGAAGUUUUCGGACAGAUGAGUGACUGAGCGGCGGACGGGUGAGUAACGCGUGGGUAACCUGCCUCACACAGGGGGAUAACAGUUAGAAAUGACUGCUAAUACCGCAUAAGACCACAGCACCGCAUGGUGCAGGGGUAAAAACUCCGGUGGUGUGAGAUGGACCCGCGUCUGAUUAGCUAGUUGGUGAGGUAACGGCUCACCAAGGCGACGAUCAGUAGCCGACCUGAGAGGGUGACCGGCCACAUUGGGACUGAGACACGGCCCAAACUCCUACGGGAGGCAGCAGUGGGGAAUAUUGCACAAUGGGCGAAAGCCUGAUGCAGCGACGCCGCGUGAAGGAUGAAGUAUUUCGGUAUGUAAACUUCUAUCAGCAGGGAAGAAAAUGACGGUACCUGACUAAGAAGCCCCGGCUAACUACGUGCCAGCAGCCGCGGUAAUACGUAGGGGGCAAGCGUUAUCCGGAUUUACUGGGUGUAAAGGGAGCGUAGACGGCUUUGCAAGUCUGAAGUGAAAGGCAUGGGCUCAACCUGUGGACUGCUUUGGAAACUGUGAAGCUAGAAUGUCGGAGAGGCAAGGGGAAUUCCUAGUGUAGCGGUGAAAUGCGUAGAUAUUAGGAGGAACACCAGUGGCGAAGGCGCCUUGCUGGACGAUGAUUGACGUUGAGGCUCGAAAGCGUGGGGAGCAAACAGGAUUAGAUACCCUGGUAGUCC
rnacentral:rRNA from 1 species